GGAAGGGCUCCAAGCUUGGGAAUGGCCCGAACCUAGAAUUAGCAUAGCAUUGCUGAACAGCUAGAUGAAGGCUACAGGAUUGGCAUUAGAAGGCACAAUGAAGAGGUCACAAAAAUAUUCUGUCUAGAAUAACAGACUGUGUGAUAUUUUGUUUCGUGUUUGAGCUGGCUUUGCAUGGUCAUGACGAGAACGAGACAUCAGACAAUCUUGGGAUAUUCGUGGCCUGGUCGAUUUUGUUGCCACUGUGUUUAAGGAAACUUCAAACGAGCUGUUGGACUGAAUGUUGUCUGUUGUUAGGGAGCACAUAAUCCAAGAAGCACAGAGCAGUGACUUUCUCUCAAUCCAUGCCGGUGAGACCACCGAUAUUGCCACACAGUGUCAAUUUGUGCUUGUGCUGUGGUACAUUGAUGCUAAAAAUAACGUACAUGAGAGUUUUUUUUUGUUUAUUCUUCUGCGUUCAGCUACAGCUGAUUCCAUCGCCACAGCACUAAAAGAGCAUCUUGCUGUCAUCCUUCCAAAGGAUCAGAAGAAUAAACUCAUCUCCCAAGUGUAUGAUGGAGCCACUGCAGGUGUUCAAAGGAAGAUGCAAGAUGUGUACCCAAAUGCCAAUUACAUCCAAUGCUAUGCACAUCAGCUCAAUCUGAUAAUGCAACAGGCCACUUCUCACAUACCCAAAGUGAGAGUUCUUUUUUCUGACCUUGGAGGAUUUGACAGCUUUUUCUCAAGAUCACCCAAGCGCACCGAUGUCCUUGAUAAAGUAGUUGCCCAUAGACUACAAACAAGCAAAGUCGGAUGGAACUUCCACAGCCGUGCCAUCAAUUCAGUGUUUGAGCACAGAGAGGACCUCAUCUGCUGUUUUCAAACUAUACGAGACUCAGGUGACUUUGACCCUGUUACCGUCAGAGAGGCAGGAGCCUUUGCCAUGCUGCUGGAGGAUUAGGAUUUUAUUUUAUUUUCUGCAACUUUUCCAUAACAUCAUGCAACAUGUGGACCUCCUCUAUGCCAAACUCCAGAAGAAGGACAUAGAUUCAAUCCACAUCAGGGGGAUCAUCCAGCAGUUCCAGCAGGAUAUACAGAAGAUCAGAUAGCAGCUAAAUUAUCUCCAUUCCCUGGUUGACCAAAGCAGUGAAGGUGGUUCUCAACCGAAGAGGUGGCGGUCACUCAGUCCAGAGGUCCAUGAACGGAUUGCAGCAGAAAUUAGUUUUUAUUGCAGUCAAAAUAAACCAUCACCAACAAGUUAAA